rnacentral:rRNA from 1 species
UGCGUAGGCGGAUCAAUAAGUCAGUGGUGAAAUCUCUCGGCCCAACCGGGAAACUGCCAUUGAUACUGUUGAUCUUGAGUUCGGUUGAGGUAGGCGGAAUGUGUAAUGUAGCGGUGAAAUGCUUAGAUAUUACACAGAACACCAAUUGCGUAGGCAGCUUACUAGACCGACACUGACGCUGAGGCACGAAAGCGUGGGGAGCGAACAGGAUUAGAUACCCUGGUAGUCC